rnacentral:lncRNA from 1 species
UGGAGGGUUGGAGAGCCAGUAAAUCUACAUACAUGAAGAAUGGAGCUCGUCAGUUGUCUCUAAUUGCUUGGCCUCAAAUAAAAUGGGGAACCUAUUCAUUGCAACGCUCCUCGAAGCUCAUCAUGUUGGGAGAAUCUCUCAGAGUGCGGAAUACGGAUUCUCCACCCAAGAUCGCUAACACUGGUGAUGAUGUCAAUAUCGCAAUAGGAAGAAAGA